rnacentral:rRNA from 1 species
CCUACGGGCGGCAGCAGUGAGGAAUAUUGGUCAAUGGUCGGGAGACUGAACCAGCCAAGCCGCGUGAGGGAUGAAGGUACAGAGUAUCGUAAACCUCUUUUGUCAGGGAACAAAGGCGGGGACGCGUCCCCGGAUGAGUGUACCUGAAGAAAAAGCAUCGGCUAACUCCGUGCCAGCAGCCGCGGUAAUACGGAGGAUGCGAGCGUUAUCCGGUUUUAUUGGGUUUAAAGGGUGCGCAGGCGGGCUUUUAAGUCCGCGGUAAAAGCCCGGGGCUCAACCCCGGCCCGCCGGUGAAACUGGCAGUCUCGAGUUGGAGAGAAGUAUGCGGAAUGCGCGGUGUAGCGGUGAAAUGCAUAGAUAUCGCGCAGAACUCCGAUUGCGAAGGCAGCAUGCCGGCUCCACACUGACGCUGAGGCACGAAAGCGUGGGUAUCGAACAGGAUUAGAUACCCUUGUAGUC